AUUGAACGCUGGCGGAAUGCUUUACACAUGCAAGUCGAACGGCAGCACGGACUUCGGUCUGGUGGCGAGUGGCGAACGGGUGAGUAAUAUAUCGGAACGUAUCCAAUAAUGGGGGAUAACUAAUCGAAAGGUUGGCUAAUACCGCAUACGUCCUACGGGAGAAAGCUAGGGACCUUCGGGCCUGGCGUUAAUGGAGCGGCCGAUAUCGGAUUAGCUAGUUGGCGGGGUAAAGGCUCACCAAGGCGACGAUCCGUAGCUGGUCUGAGAGGACGACCAGCCACACUGGAACUGAGACACGGUCCAGACUCCUACGGGAGGCAGCAGUGGGGAAUUUUGGACAAUGGGCGAAAGCCUGAUCCAGCCAUUCCGCGUGAGUGAAGAAGGCCUUCGGGUUGUAAAGCUCUUUCGCAAGAGAAGAAAACUUACCCUCUAACAUAGGGUGAGGUUGACGGUAUCUUGAUAAGAAGCACCGGCUAACUACGUGCCAGCCGCCGCCGUAA
rnacentral:rRNA from 1 species